rnacentral:lncRNA from 1 species
GAGCAUGGUGGAUGCCAAGUAAGUGAUAACUCUUAGGAAGAUUAGGCCUACAGAUAAGGACGACGGGCACUGUUUGUCGCUUACCCCAAUAUCUAUCCACUUAGUUACAAAACUCUGAUUUUUGGCUGGCAUGAUGCAGUUCCAAGUAAAAAGACUGCAUUUCUCAGCCUCUCAGGAAGGUAGGUAUGGCCAUGUAAUUAAGAUUUAGUCAAUGAGUUGUGAACAGAACAACUAUAGUAAUUCUGGGGAGGUCGCCAUAAAGUGCUGGAAAGAGCCUGAGUUUUACCUGUCGUCUGUCUUUAUGGUUUCUAUUUUCAAAAAGGACAUGAUGGCUGGUGCUCCAGCAGCCACUCUGGUCUACAAGAGACAUGUAAGAUGGAAGCCAUGUACUAAGAUGGUCUAACAAGCAGAUGGAAUCCUGAAUCCCUGGUCACUCCAGUGCUGCAACUCUAGUUUGGGGCGGCCUUCCUCUGGAUUUCAGUUAUGUAAGGCAGAAGGUUCUUCUGUCAUCAGUUAGUCCUUGUUGUUUUACAGUUUUCUAGAAAUGAUAAGGAAUGCAUUACAGAUCCAGGCAAGCGGGAAGCAGAGUUCACCUGGAGCAAAGGCACUAAAAGUACAGCCCUAGACCAACAGGGUGCAUGGGACGUCCAGGUGCACAUGAGCGUGAGAACCGCCAGGCACAUGAGGAUCUGGGUGCCCCUUGGUUGUGAGGGCUUGUCCUGUGCAUGCAGGACACUCAGUAGCGUCCUGGGGUACCCACUAGCAACCUCCACUCCCUCGGUGAGGAAUUCAAAGGUCUCAGACAUUGCCACGGAUCCAACGUCAGGAGAGAGGGCUGCAAACUGCUGACGGUCCGGGAUGUCUAAAGGAGGAGGAAAGGGGAAGCAGAGAAAGGAGAGGAGAAGGAGAGAAAGAGAAAGUGAGAAGGGUCAAGAGGAAGAGGAGGAAGAAGAGGAAGAAAAAGAAAAGGAGGAGGAGAAAGAAGAGGAGGAAGAGAAGGAAGCGAAAGAGGAGAAAGAAGAGGAGAAAGAAGAGGAGGAGGAAGAGAAGGAAGAGGAGAGAGAAGAGGAGGAGGAGGCAGAAGCCAUGGCAGCUAACAGACUCUGGUGAUCUUAAAUUGAUCACCAACUCGCAUGCAGGAGCACGGCAAAAUGGCUUCCUUCCCCUACCUAGUUCAACCCCAUCCGUGUAGCCUAGAUGGAAAGACAAGGGAACAGACGUGAGUCUAUAAAGCUCCCAGCACGUCUCUCAGAGUCGGUAGUGCGACAGUGCAACGGCACAUGCCUACACAUUCUAGCCUUUCCUAUGGUUCUGCUUUCCAUUCCAUGGGUCCGUUGAGUGCAAGUGACUGGAACAAGGAAGGAGAACCCAGCUGCUCCAUUCCAGUAGCACGAGGGAGGUAAGGAGCCCAGUUCCCAGGCAGGGCACUCUCUGUUCCUAAGGACUCUAGUGGGUUCUGGUUUGUAGCAAGAGAGCCCUAAGAAUCGACAACUUGGCAGCCAGCAGUGGCUUCUUCAAUGCUCCCACCUUCCUUUCUCUAUCCUGUGCCCCCUUCCCAGGGUUCUCUCCAGCCCGUAAACCUUGUGUGCAAAUGUCCUGACUCUUGCAACUGUGUUAAAAAAUAAACCUUAAAAAGCUUCC